rnacentral:rRNA from 1 species
GACGAACUUUGGCGGCGUGCUUAACACAUGCAAGUCGAACGGUAAGGCCCUGCUUUUGUGGGGUGCUCGAGUGGCGAACGGGUGAGUAACACGUGAGUAACCUGCCCUUGACUUUGGGAUAACUUCAGGAAACUGGGGCUAAUACCGGAUAGGAGCUCCUGCUGCAUGGUGGGGGUUGGAAAGUUUCGGCGGUUGGGGAUGGACUCGCGGCUUAUCAGCUUGUUGGUGGGGUAGUGGCUUACCAAGGCUUUGACGGGUAGCCGGCCUGAGAGGGUGACCGGCCACAUUGGGACUGAGAUACGGCCCAGACUCCUACGGGAGGCAGCAGUGGGGAAUAUUGCACAAUGGGCGGAAGCCUGAUGCAGCAACGCCGCGUGCGGGAUGACGGCCUUCGGGUUGUAAACCGCUUUCGCCUGUGACGAAGCGUGAGUGACGGUAAUGGGUAAAGAAGCACCGGCUAACUACGUGCCAGCAGCCGCGGUGAUACGUAGGGUGCGAGCGUUGUCCGGAUUUAUUGGGCGUAAAGGGCUCGUAGGUGGUUGAUCGCGUCGGAAGUGUAAUCUUGGGGCUUAACCCUGAGCGUGCUUUCGAUACGGGUUGACUUGAGGAAGGUAGGGGAGAAUGGAAUUCCUGGUGGAGCGGUGGAAUGCGCAGAUAUCAGGAGGAACACCAGUGGCGAAGGCGGUUCUCUGGGCCUUUCCUGACGCUGAGGAGCGAAAGCGUGGGGAGCGAACAGGCUUAGAUACCCUGGUAGUCCACGCUGUAAACGGUGGGUACUAGGUGUGGGGUCCAUUCCACGGGUUCCGUGCCGUAGCUAACGCUUUAAGUACCCCGCCUGGGGAGUACGGCCGCAAGGCUAAAACUCAAAGGAAUUGACGGGGCCCCGCACAAGCGGCGGAGCAUGCGGAUUAAUUCGAUGCAACGCGUAGAACCUUACCUGGGUUUGACAUGGAUCGGGAGUGCUCAGAGAUGGGUGUGCCUCUUUUGGGGUCGGUUCACAGGUGGUGCAUGCCUGUCGUCAGCUCGUGUCGUGAGAUGUUGGGUUAAGUCCCGCAACGAGCGCAACCCUUGUUCACUGUUGCCAGCACGUUAUGGUGGGGACUCAGUGGAGACCGCCGGGGUCAACUCGGAGGAAGGUGGGGAUGACGUCAAGUCCUCAUGCCCCUUAUGUCCAGGGCUUCACGCAUGCUACAAUGGCUGGUACAGAGAGUGGCGAGCCUGUGAGGGUGAGCGAAUCUCGGAAAGCCGGUCUCAGUUCGGAUUGGGGUCUGCAACUCGACCUCAUGAAGUCGGAGUCGCUAGUAAUCGCAAAUCAGCAACGCUGCGGUGAAUACGUUCCCGGGGCC